UGGGGAAUCUUGGACAAUGGGCGCAAGCCUGAUCCAGCCAUGCCGCGUGGAUGAUGAAGGCCUUAGGGUUGUAAAAUCCUUUCGUGGGGACGAUAAUGACGGUACCCCAAGAAGAAGCUCCGGCUAACUUCGUGCCAGCAGCCGCGGUAAUACGAAGGGGGCUAGCGUUGUUCGGAUUUACUGGGCGUAAAGCGUGCGCAGGCGGUUCGCCAAGUCAGGUGUGAAAUCCCCGGGNUUAACCUGGGAAUUGCGCUUGAAACUAGCGGGCUUGAGUGUGGCAGAGGGGGGUGGAAUUCCACGUGUAGCAGUGAAAUGCGUGGAGAUGUGGAGGAACACCGAUGGCGAAGGCAGCCCCCUGGGUCAACACUGACGCUCAUGCACGAAAGCGUGGGGAGCAAACAGGAUUAGAUACCCCAGUAGUCCCUGAGCGGGCUGGCAAGGCGCAU
rnacentral:rRNA from 1 species